rnacentral:lncRNA from 1 species
UGCCACAUAUUGAGUAUCAGUAUCUCACUAAAUGCUUCAAUAGCCACCUAGGAUGACAAACUAUUUUUCCCAUUUUACAGAUGAAGAAAGAGGCUUGGGAAAUAAUUCGCUGUCCAAGAUCAACAUCUAGGAAAUAGUAGAACUGGAUUUUGAAUCAAGUUAACUCCAAGGCUUGGUACUACCUUGCAGGGAUGUCACACCAAUAUGGCGGUGAAGACAUGGAGUUUUUCCACUGCCAUAUUUUGGUAUCCAUUAGCUGGCUUUGUGGAUUCCGAGUGGCAUCUGCGUCAGGAGUGGCGGCAGCACCUGAUCCAAGCUUCCUGGUCCAGGAGUGGUGCCCGAUCCCUGUGAUAGAGAGGUGUCCAGCAUCCGGAUGGGGUCAUGAGCAGGGAAGAUAGUUGUGGAGCUCGUCAGUUGUGGGGCUCAUCUUUGCUUUAGGUAAGUAUUUGGCGUGAACAUCAGGCUAUCCCCUGCUUGGUGAGAACUUUGUGAAGGCACAACUUUGCAAUCAUCCAGCAGACUUUGAAUUACAAACUUUUUUUUUCUCGAAUUGCAGCACUUACGCUGUUGGGAGGCACAGGAAAGGUUUCUUGGUGUAUUGAAUCCUAAUGGCAACUUUGAAUCUUAGGUACCCCCAGUUUUAUCAUAUUAAUACAUUUUAUUGGAAUUUUGCAUCAGGUAGUCAAUCAACAAAGAUGUGUGAAAUGUUCCCUACAUGCUAGGAUUUUCUGAGUCUCACUUGCUGGUUAAGGGGAACCCUCAGCUGAAGUCCUCAGUCCCUGACUUUGGAAAAGACUGUGAUUUAAUUGUGAGAACCCUGGGUUGCC